AUUUAUUAUUUAUUUAUUUAUACUUUUUGCACAAUGUUGGUACAUAUGCGAACUUAAUGCCAAAUGGCAUUGUCUACCAUAUAUUUUGAGGAGUUCCCUCGAU